rnacentral:rRNA from 1 species
CAGCCGCCGCGGGAAAACGAAGGGUGCAAGCGUUACUCGGAAUUACUGGGCGUAAAGCGUGCGUAGGUGGUGGUUUAAGUCCGUUGUGAAAGCCCUGGGCUCAACCUGGGAAUUGCAGUGGAUACUGGGUCACUAGAGUGUGGUAGAGGAUAGUGGAAUUUCCGGUGUAGCAGUGAAAUGCGUAGAGAUCGGAAGGAACAUCUGUGGCGAAGGCGACUAUCUGGGCCAACACUGACACUGAGGCACGAAAGCGUGGGGAGCAAACAGGAUUAGAUACCCCUGUAGUCCCUGUCUCUUAUAC